rnacentral:rRNA from 1 species
CAGGCCUAACACAUGCAAGUCGAGCGGGCGUAGCAAUACGUCAGCGGCAGACGGGUGAGUAACGCGUGGGAACGUACCUUUUGGUUCGGAACAACACAGGGAAACUUGUGCUAAUACCGGAUAAGCCCUUACGGGGAAAGAUUUAUCGCCGAAAGAUCGGCCCGCGUCUGAUUAGCUAGUUGGUGAGGUAAUGGCUCACCAAGGCGACGAUCAGUAGCUGGUCCGAGAGGAUGAUCAGCCACAUUGGGACUGAGACACGGCCCAAACUCCUACGGGAGGCAGCAGUGGGGAAUAUUGGACAAUGGGGGCAACCCUGAUCCAGCCAUGCCGCGUGAGUGAUGAAGGCCCUAGGGUUGUAAAGCUCUUUUGUGCGGGAAGAUAAUGACGGUACCGCAAGAAU